rnacentral:rRNA from 1 species
UGAGCAACCUGCCCCUUGACCCUGGAAUAACAGCUGGAAACCGCUGCUAAUACCGGAUACGACCUCCGAUGGCAUCAUCUGGAGGUGGAAAGCUCCGACGGUCAAGGAUGGGCUCGCGGCCUAUCAGCUUGUUGGUGUGGUAAUGGCCCACCAGGGCGACGGACGGGUAGCCGGCCUGAGGAGGGCGACCGGCCACACGUGGGACUGAGACACGGCCCAGACUCC